UACGUAGGGGGCAAACGUUGUCCGGAAUUAUUGGGCGUAAAGCGCGUGUAGGCGGCUCGGUAAGUCUGCUGUGAAAGUCCAAGGCUCAACCUUGGAAAGCCGGUGGAUACUGUCGAGCUCGAGUCCGGAAGAGGAGUGUGGAAUUCCUGGUGUAGCGGUGAAAUGCGCAGAUAUCAGGAGGAACACCAAUGGCGAAGGCAGCACUCUGGGACGUGACUGACGCUGAGACGCGAAAGCGUGGGGAGCAAACAGG
rnacentral:rRNA from 1 species